AUUUGAGUGAGUGGCGAACUGGUGAGUAACACGUGGGAAACCUGCCCAGAAGCGGGGGAUAACACCUGGAAACAGAUGCUAAUACCGCAUAACAACUUGGACCGCAUGGUCCGAGUUUGAAAGAUGGCUUCGGCUAUCACUUUUGGAUGGUCCCGCGGCGUAUUAGCUAGAUGGUGAGGUAACGGCUCACCAUGGCAAUGAUACGUAGCCGACCUGAGAGGGUAAUCGGCCACAUUGGGACUGAGACACGGCCCAAACUCCUACGGGAGGCAGCAGUAGGGAAUCUUCCACAAUGGACGAAAGUCUGAUGGAGCAACGCCGCGUGAGUGAAGAAGGGUUUCGGCUCGUAAAACUCUGUUGUUAAAGAAGAACAUAUCUGAGAGUAACUGUUCAGGUAUUGACGGUAUUUAACCAGAAAGCCACGGCUAACUACGUGCCAGCAGCCGCGGUAAUACGUAGGUGGCAAGCGUUGUCCGGAUUUAUUGGGCGUAAAGCGAGCGCAGGCGGUUUUUUAAGUCUGAUGUGAAAGCCUUCGGCUCAACCGAAGAAGUGCAUCGGAAACUGGGAAACUUGAGUGCAGAAGAGGACAGUGGAACUCCAUGUGUAGCGGUGAAAUGCGUAGAUAUAUGGAAG
rnacentral:rRNA from 2 species